rnacentral:piRNA from 1 species
UGCUGACUCAUGCUGUGCGAGGCUGC